GCUUCUUUACCUUUUAUUUCUUUUGUAAAUGAAGCUUUUCUUUAAGAAUGUGACCUUAAAGUGUUGUCUAUUGCAUAAAACAGUUGACACUCACUUACUGUAAAGUGAAGAUUGUUCUACUGCAUGUGAAGUGGACCAUGCAGAUUUCUGUAUGUUCUCAGUAUGCAUCACUAGAUAAUAAAGUCUUUUGUGAACAAGGCAUUUGUAGCCAUUUUUAAAAGUUUUUGUCUUCAGUUCUGGUAAGUCAGGUAAAUCAUAGUUAAAAGAAACCUUUUUUCCUGAAAGUUCAUAUUGAUAGUAUUAUUUAAGAUGUAAGUAGCGAGAAGUUGAUUGUUUUUAUAGUAUUUAGGGUGCUAAUUAUUUCAUCCAGAAAACCCUACAAUUAUUGUCAGCUUUCAGUGUAGUCAGAAUAUUCCUAUAGGUUAUGGAAUAUAAUUCGGGAUUUAACUAAUGUUUCUGCUAUUUUCUCACUUUUCCUUUUGAUGGUGCGGAAAGAGAAAAAGGAAAACGGGGCACAGGCCAUUCACCGCCUUCUCCAAGGGGUCUGAUUUGCUGAGACACCAGCUUCACCUUCUUAACAAGGUGCAGCUCAGUGGAAGAUGAUGACAACCAGAAGACAUGAGCUAAGGGUAAGGGAUGUUCUUCUGAAGAACCUUUCCAUUUAGUGAUCAAGAUGCAGAAGCUGAUCUCUGAAAAUACUCAGUGUGUGCCCUAAUUGUUCACAUUACCGCUUCCAGUUGUAAAUUGCAUUUUAGCAGCACGUUUUCCCAGUGGACUCUUGGGAAACAAUAAAAUAUGCCUCAUG